rnacentral:lncRNA from 1 species
AUUCCCCAAACCACAGUAUUAAACUUUUUGCAGGUGCUGAGGGCUAGCAAUCAUCAGAACUGUAAUAGGGAGAAAAUAUACAAAGGAUAAAGAUUCCACAGGGGAUCACCCCAAUGGAACUGAGUAGGUGGGGAGUGAGUUGGUGGAACUUCAUGUUUUUUAUGUCCCUGAAGGAUCAUGGAACUAUAAGCUAAAUACCAUUUCAACAGAAGUUGUUAACAAAUUCAUUUCAGCUGGAUUUCUAAGAGUAUCUCCUCAACUUACUUUACGAGCCCUGAGGGAGCGUCUUGGUGAGUUCCUGGGUGAAGAUGCUAUUGCAGAAAAAUUUUUAUUUCUGAAAUGCAUUGGAAAUAAUUUAGCUGUGGUGAAGGAAAAGCAAGAAUCAGAACUGAAACUCAAAUCAUUUGCUCCUCCAUAUGCUCUUCAACCAGAAUUAUAUUUGCUUCCUGUAAUGGACCAUUUAGGAAAUGUUUAUUCACCAUCAACAGUUAUUUUAGAUGAGCGGCAGACUAAUAAUGGUGUUAAUGAGGCUGAUGGAACAAUCCACAGACCAAUUAGUGUAACUUUGUUCAAGGAGGAACUUGGAAGAGAUCCCAGUUUGUUAGAAAACACUUUGAAAGAGCUUCCUAACAAGAAUCAGGAAGAAGGUG